UUUUUUUUUUUUUUUUUUUUUUUUUUGCCUAGCAGAUUGUCAUGAGUGAUGGCAAAUGCAUUUCAUCUCAUAUGCCAGUCAUAAUCUAUUAUAGUGGCAGCCUGGAUUAUAGCAUUGAGAAGGAUUAGUAAUGCCUGUCAAGGGUGUUGAACUGGGAAAUCGUGACAUGCGUCCCAGUUGUUUGUCAGCCCCAUUCUUGAUUUUAUCUGAUGCUAAAAUCCACAAAUUGUAUGUAGGAAAAUGAAAGAAUUAAAAUAAAUUUUAAGAAUAUGUGGGGCAUCAACAUGUAAUUAAGAAUCUAAACUGUCAUUCUGCACCUCCAAGCACGACGAUAAAAUGACUCUGCCUAGUAUUUUGUGCAAUCUGAUCAAAACAGGUGGUUGAUAUAUGCGCUCAGAGUGCUACUUUUGAUUUUUUAAUGAUCACACUCCAGGACUAUGUUGAACAGUUCCACUGAAAGCUAUGGCUGGCAUGAUUCUUCACCUACAUUGCAGAAAGAGCCAACAACUUUGGUAUAAUUAAUGUCUAAGCAAUGAUACUGUAUACAACACAAUGGUGCAAAGGUGGGUUCUCCAAAAUAGCUUAGACCCUAUGGUCAACUGUUAAAACGCGGAUGGUUCAGAAUCACAGUAAUGGCUCCUAAGAGAGAAAUCUGAAAAAGAGAAUAAUUUGUUUUUACCUCAUUGGAAACACCAGAAGAAUGAUCUUGAACAUAGUCCAGAGGCUUUUUAGGAGGCUGGGUGUAGAUGCACCACAUAAGCAGAAGUGUAGAGAUGGAAUAUGGAGGAGAAUCAAUGGCAGCAAGGAAUGGACAUGUGGAAAAGGUGACAACAGUUAGAAACUGAGUGCUGACAGCAUCAGAUACACAUAAAGAGUGCAUGAAUGGAGCAAAAUGGGGGUGGCCCAGGAGGAAGGGUGCAAUGUUCGUAAAAUAUUCUCAAGCACUGGGCAAAAUUACUAGUGAUUUGAUUAGUAAAUUUAUAAGUUCAUUUCAUCAGAUCAAAAUGAGCACUCCUAGUCUCUAGCCACAGAGGAAUGCGAGGUGUAUUAAAGGAACAUUAAAGGAGCAGGUGGAUAGCUGGUGAGUUUCCAUGUGUGGCUAAAAAUGAUUACAGAAAAAUGCUGAUAAUUUAUGCUCAGAACAGAAAUCGGUAUGGUCCCUACAAACCACGUAAUCAGUAAUAACAAUAUGCAUAAAAUAAAGCUAGAGAAUUUUUAUUCCUCUAAAAUAAAAUGCAUUUAUGUGAAUAUUUGGAUACAAAUUAGGAAAAAAAUGAGAGAAAACACUUUUCCUGUUAAGUAUAGAAAUUCUAGGAAAAAUCUUUUGGUAUAUAUUUAUUUACAGUCACUUUUGAUCCAGUUCAAUAAGAUAAGGAAUCUAACCAAGUGUCCCUUGCAUUUCAGUGGACUAAAGGGAUGACUAUAACCACCCCCCACCCUGCCCCGCCCCGGAACCAAUAUAUGUCACUUUAUGAGUAUGCAAAUGAGUAUAUGGCAUGGUAAAAGAAAGACUAUGCUCUUUGAUCUUCAGUAAAAUUCUGUGCAGUGGAAUAACUGGUAACUUAGAGAGUUUAAAAUCCAGUGCCACCAGUAAUAUAAAAAAUACACUGACAAAUAACAAAUGCACAGCUAUUGGUAGAUAGAAGUCCCCAAUAAAACUUAAUGAAGGAAAUCGUUAUUUAAGGCUUAGGUUGACUGUCCCAAGCAGACUAUGCAGUUCUCACAAGGUCUGCCUUUGGCGGGCUUGGGGACAAGAUGUUUCACUGGCAAAACUAGAAAUCAAGGUCCACAGGGGUUAUUUAUUUUUCUCUUUCCCUAUAUUCCUGUGAGUAAAUGAGUAGUUUAUAGUGGGAAUAUACUGAUACUAUAUUAUGGUGGGAAUUGCCCAGAGUUUUUCUGUUUGUUUGGUAGACCCGGGUUUAACUUCUGACUCGACCACGUACUGUCUUGUGCAAAUUACUUAACCUCUCUGGUCUCCGCUUUCUUCUUAUUAGAGGGGCAUCCAGAGGACUCACUGAGGUAGUGAGUUCAGAACCCAGCGCUCUCCAGGUGCUUGGUCGUUCCUCAGCAAAUGGGAGCUUUAAUAAUAGUAAUUACUGUUAUAAAUGCCACAGUACUUCCUGUGAUUGAACGAGACCAAAAGGGACUGUAAACAAAUACGAAUCUUCAAUAAAUCUGCAACAGUUGUCUAACUAUUCCAGGACGAGACCUGUCUCAGCAUUUUGAAUUUCUUUGGAUAGAAAGUAAGCCUAAGGCAUGGUGUGGGGUAAAGAGAAGCUGCAUAGGAGGUGUCUGGGCAUGUUUAACCCUUCGGUACAGAAGGGAAUGUGGGCUCAGCUGUACCGAAUUUGCAUAUGCAGCACAGGUUCGGCUCUUGUUCUGUGAAUGGCACCUAUCUCUUCCGAUAAUAGUAUGUUUUAUCAGUCAAACAACAUUCCCCUAAUUUUCUUACAUUAAUAGUCUGGCCUCACUUACCGGGCGUCCAAACUCCAGUUCUGAAAAGAAUUUAUACCAGGGCUCAUUUUCUAAAUCUAUGUCAUCUGGAUUUAUGCGAUCAUUCUGGAGCAGAUGUGAAGGAAAAGGGAAGGAAAAGGCACACUGAGCUGAGCGAGGGAAACGCCGUGUGGUAUGAAAAACACGCACGCGCAUUCGCACGCAAACAGGCACCGACUCAUCCAACGAAUCUCAGCAGGACGAACCAAGGAAGUAAAGUAAAAUGAGUAAAAUCAGGAUAUGAAGAUGAGCUUCGAUGGCAUCACCUAGGCCCCUAGUCACUUUCUCUGUCCACCUGUGUCCUCUCUUUUGAGUUUUCUCCUUAGCUGGAGGCAUAAACCAUGAAAAACGCUGUGAGCGGAAUGAGCACGGGGAGCACACCUCAAAGAGGCUAACUUUAGCCUAUUAAAGUUAAAAUAGACUCGACUAAGCCACCGAGGAGCUCAUCCGGAUCUAAAGAACGAUGGAACUAAAAACAAUGAAGUGGAAAGGAUAUUUUGAUUUCACUAUAAAACACUGAAAGAAUUGAACUUUAAAAUAUCCUGACUGUGCAAAUGGAGACACCUGUUUGUGAAAAUGAAGUGAAGACAAAAACCAGCCCCUGAUGAUGGUUAGAAAGUACCUUUAGUUGGUUAGAGCCACUGUUGGUUUUAAGUCUUAGGUAAAGGAGAAAGAAACUGGAGAAAAAUAAGUUUUAAUGCCUCCAAGGCUAUAUAACCCAAGAGGCUAAAAACCAUGGUGGAGGGGCUGUCUGUCAAAGGAAGAGAGUGGAUGGCCCAUUACAGGCUUUCUAGCUAUCGCUUCUGACCAUUGUCAUGUCUACCCACACAUGUCAACUGUGAUGAUAAACAUCAGCCUCGUCAUGAGUAAAUGAAACUUUGAAGCAAAAAA